rnacentral:rRNA from 1 species
UACGUAGGGUGCGAGCGUUAAUCGGAAUUACUGGGCGUAAAGCGUGCGCAGGCGGUGAUGUAAGACAGGUGUGAAAUCCCCGGGCUCAACCUGGGAACUGCAUUUGUGACUGCAUGGCUGGAGUGCGGCAGAGGGGGAUGGAAUUCCGCGUGUAGCAGUGAAAUGCGUAGAUAUGCGGAGGAACACCGAUGGCGAAGGCAAUCCCCUGGGCCUGCACUGACGCUCAUGCACGAAAGCGUGGGGAGCAAACAGG